UAGGGCGUAGUUCAAUUGGUAGAGCACCGGUCUCCAAAACCGGGUGUUGGGAUUCGAGCCUCUCCGCCCUGCC
rnacentral:tRNA from 1 species